UAGGGAAUCUUCGGCAAUGGACGAAAGUCUGACCGAGCAACGCCGCGUGAGUGAAGAAGGUUUUCGGAUCGUAAAACUCUGUUGUUAGAGAAGAACAAGGACGUUAGUAACUGAACGUCCCCUGACGGUAUCUAACCAGAAAGCCACGGCUAACUACGUGCCAGCAGCCGCGGUAAUACGUAGGUGGCAAGCGUUGUCCGGAUUUAUUGGGCGUAAAGCGAGCGCAGGCGGUUUCUUAAGUCUGAUGUGAAAGCCCCCGGCUCAACCGGGGAGGGUCAUUGGAAACUGGGAGACUUGAGUGCAGAAGAGGAGAGUGGAAUUCCAUGUGUAGCGGUGAAAUGCGUAGAUAUAUGGAGGAACACCAGUGGCAAAGGCGGCUCUCUGGUCUGUAACUGACGCUGAGGCUCGAAAGCGUGGGGAGCAAACAGG
rnacentral:rRNA from 2 species